ensembl:lncRNA
GAGACCCGUCAUGAAGAUGAGUUAUAAAACAUACAGAGGAUAUCUGGCACCUAACAGGCACUUGUGUUCAUCUGAAUAGUAAAUGAGAAGAUGACUGUAAAGAGCACUUCAUUAGAGAUGGGAGAACAGAGACCCUGAGGAAAUCACCAAAGAGAACACAACCAGAAAGCUGGAAAGCCAGAACCAAAGGCUGGCCUUGCUGUUCUUUCUGCUCCACAUCUCUGUCCUUCAAUAGGCGUAUCUUUUUCUAGAGAGGAAACAUGAUGCACUGGCAAAACUUUAGUCUACAAAGGAUCAUGAGUCCAUAAGCUGCAACUGUUGCUUUGAAAAGGCAGAAGUAAAAGAAGAAUUGAUGGAGAUACCAGACAUGAAAGGGUUGUAAGUUCUGGGCUUUCCAAUAAUAAGCCAUCCUCCUCCAGAUGAUUUUAAUAAUCUCCAGCACAUGUGUUCUAACCCCUUGAUGCUGUACAAUAUGUGUAACCAAAUAAAAGAUCUCUCCAGAUUCAGAGAUUUACUGUUUGUGAUGGGAAAAGGCCAACCAGAUGACAUCAUUUAUAUUCCAAAUAUGAGCUGCUGCCAAGGCUGGUGAUGUUAAGCUGGAGAAAUUGAUCCUCAACAUUAUUCUAUGAAGGAAAAAAGAAAAAGGUCUUGGCCUAGAU